rnacentral:rRNA from 1 species
UCUAGCCAUGCCGCGUGAGUGAUGAAAGCCCUAGGGUCGUAAAGCUCUUUCGCCAGGGAUGAUAAUGACAGUACCUGGUAAAGAAACCCCGGCUAACUCCGUGCCAGCAGCCGCGGUAAUACGGAGGGGGUUAGCGUUGUUCGGAAUUACUGGGCGUAAAGCGCGCGUAGGCGGAUUAGAAAGUUGGGGGUGAAAUCCCGGGGCUCAACCCCGGAACUGCCUCCAAAACUACUAGUCUAGAGUUCGAGAGAGGUGAGUGGAAUUCCGAGUGUAGAGGUGAAAUUCGUAGAUAUUCGGAGGAACACCAGUGGCGAAGGCGGCUCACUGGCUCGAUACUGACGCUGAGGUGCGAAAGUGUGGGGAGCAAACAGGAUUAGAUACCCUGGUAGUCCACACCGUAAACGAUGAAUGCCAGUCGUCGGGUCGCUUGCGCUUCGGUGACACACCUAACGGAUUAAGCAUUCCGCCUGGGGAGUACGGUCGCAAGAUUAAAACUCAAAUGAAUUGACGGGG